GGUACAUAAUCGCUUUCUUUGUUUCUUUCUCCUCUUUAUGGGUGGGCACUUCGGUUAUUUUAUCGAUUCGGUUUAGGUUCGGUUCAGUCUGGUUAAUUUGGUUCUAAAAAAAUUUCAACUGAAGUAAACCAUAAUUAGUUUGGUUUGGAUCGGUUUCGGUUCAGUUUGUUUUCGGCUUGAUUUGUGUUUCGGUUUCUUUCAAUCGAGUUCCCCUAGUUUAGUUUUUUUAAGAGAAAUCAUGUUAUAAAACAUAAACGCAUGGUCACGAAAUCAUCAUGUUGGUUACCAUGAAAAAAUAAAUUAUGUAAACUAAAUCCAAUGUAAAACUAAACAAAAAUCUUUUUAAAACCCCAUAAAGUUUAUAAGAACACAAUCAAAUCAAAGUUAACUAUCAUAAAUAGAAAAUUAAUAAAAACAUCGCUAAUAAUUUCUCAUAAAAAUAAACUAUGUAAAUUAAAUAUAAUACAAAACUGAAAUAAAAACCUUAAAAAUCAUAAAAAGUUGAUAAGAACACAAUCAAACCAAAAUUAACUAAAUUUUUAAUAGAAAAUUAAAAAAACAUUGUUAAUAAUGUUAACAGUGACUUUAGUUUUAAACCAAACUAUUUAAUAAGAGACUUUGGUUUGGUUUGGUUUGGUUUGGAUCAGUUUCGGUUCAGUUAGUUCGGUUUUCUUGCCCACCCAUUCACGCAUGAGCCAAUAUUUAAACUCUGGUUUUAACACAUGCUUUCAUGUAUUUGUAAAAACAUCUCAUUAAUUAUAUAUAGAUAUGUAUCUAUAAUAAUAAAGUAGACUUGAGUCUCUCUUCUUUGCGCCACAUCAGCAAAGCAUGGUACAAAUUGUGACACUUGUCAUCCCCUUAUAAAUCAUCUCAUCUAAAGCUAUAUGUUAUCGACUUCCCUUUGGGCUUCGCAUCAAAACUAAGCUGUGGAAGCUAUAUGCCACCGUAACUGGGCUGUGGAAGCUAUAUGCCACCGGUUUUAACACAUGCUUUCAUAUAUUUGUAGAAACAUCUCAUUAAUUAUAUAUAGAUAUCUAUAAUAAUAAAGUAGACUUGAGCCUCUCCUCCUUGCACCACAUCAGCAAAGCAUGGUCCAAAUUGUGACACUUGUCAUUUUCUUAUAAAUCAUCCCAUCUAAAGCUAUAUGUUAUCGACUUCCCUUUGGGCUUCACAUCAAAACUAAGCUGUGGAAGCUAUAUGCCACCGUAACUGGGCUCAAUUUCGCGGCCCACAUAAAAACCCUAUCUGCUGUCGCAUCUUCAUCGUCUCCCCUGACGCCUAGCAUCCUCACUUCCAACAUUUUUUUUCUUCUGUAACGUUUCCGGAUAAACUUGACCAGCAUCUAAUUAAAGUUAUUAUUUAUAUCUUAUCUUAUAUCCCACUCCUCCUACUAAGUCUCAUUAAAUAAACCUCUACGGCUCUACCUCCUCCUUCCUCACUAGAAUCUAUCUCCUAUAAAUACGUAUACUAUCAUACAACAUGGCGACAUCCCAGAUCUCUAUUGAUUUGAAAAACGGGCGAUGUAAACAGACAGUUGUAACACAUCUUCUAUGUUUCUUAGAGGAGCUUGAUGUGAAAACAGGUUGAGAUCAUGGUCGUGGAUAUGCUGCUUCUUGAUGAAAAGGUUUUGUAAACGUCAAUUGCCGGAACACAUUCAACCACCUCCGUUCCGAGAAGAAGAUUGGCAGUUGCGUUAAAGCCGCCACCACAGUACGCUUGUGGAUGCCUUUUCCUUAUUUCUGAGAUUCCAAAGGCACGUUGUGGACGCCUUUUUCUUAUAUCUGAGGUUCUAAAGGCCUGGCCACCUCUAUUUUUGUCGUUGUGUUUCCUCAUGUUACUCAAUAAGUCCUUUUCCGGUUUUGCAUGAAAGAAGAUGUAGAACAUUUUGAGGAUUUGAAAGAAGAAGAUCAUAUUUGAUCAAUAAAGAAACAGCGAAAGAAGGGAAUGAUGUUGAUGAUGACGUUCAUCGUGACGGUGACAAACCCACAAGUAGAGAUGGUGUCUCUUCUUCUGACAACGACGUGGCUUUUGCGGUCAGGCAAUAUGAUGAAAGAUGAUUAUGGUUCGGAUAUGAGGAAGAGAUAUUUAUAAAGAAACACUCCACAAGCUCUAAGAAACCAAAUAAUUUCCUAAUGAUUGAAAAAUCCAAGCACCAUUGAAAUCAAAUUGUCUUCUUGGAGGCUACGAUCCUCGCCAUAGAGAGCCUUCUUACUGGUCAGUUAAUUGUACCAGUUCUUUUCAUAUUAUUUUAUUUUGUUUCUUUUCUGAUUUUUGAUUUGUGUUCUUUUUCUUGAUUUCCUUUCAUAAUGCUCGAUAGUGUAUUAUAGAGAUUUGUUAGCGAUAUAAACAAAUAUAAUGGGGUUGUUGAGUAUC